rnacentral:lncRNA from 1 species
GUUCUGCUCUUCUGCAGCCUUUUGGGGAUGACUGGCUUCCUCACCACAACCAAGCCAGACAAUAGCACCCUGCAACACUGAGAAAUAAAAAUAUACAGAAAGUACAUGUGGGCAGUCUUGCAGCUACUCCCUGUCCCUCUGAAGUGGCUCCUUCUUCUCUCCUGAAACCAUGAUCCACUCUCCCUUCCUUAAGAAAAUCUUCCCUUGAUUCUGCCACCUCUUGUAGGAGGGAAUAUGCCCGAGACAGUGGUCAUGUUAUAACCUCACCAGGAUCCUGCACAUUCAAUACUAUACAGGUGUACAUGCGCAAAAAUAAUUCAAGAAUACAGACAAUGCAGACUGUUGGAGAGCCAAUCUGAAAUCAAUUAAAAGGAAUGAACAUUUAUUAAUAACAUGAGUGCAAGCAGAUGGAAAGGGAUCUGUACCGAACAAAUCUCCAAAAAUAGAAACAAUCUACUGGAGAAAGAGAAACAUGCCAUGUCCAAAAACCUGUUUCCAGCUUAAAGGUUAUCUUUUUUAUGGAGUGAGGAUUUUCACAUGACCCAUUUCUUCUUUUUUGCAAGACUAAGGUUUCUCCAGGCCUCCAGCCUGUUGCCUUCAGUGAGCAUCGCAGACUGGUUCCAGAGUUAUCUUCCUGAAAAUCAAAGUUGACCAUGUCGCUCCGU